UAUGGACAGGACCCUGCCCGGACUUAGGCUGCUCCUACUUCACUGUUCUCUGGCCCCAAGUUUGAGAAGAGGGGGAGUUCAAUAGAGUCUGACUGGAGAGAGGGGCAAGGGGCUGGGGAGCCGGGAAUCCCAGGGGUUUGUGGGGACAAACCAGCCACCCUCUCCUCCUGGGGCUUUUAGCUCUGAUGGGACAUGGGAUCCAACCUUUCCUGAGGACCUACUCCACACCAGGCCCUUUGCAGUGCUCUCAUUGAAUAUUCACAGCUACAGUGUGAGGGUGUAAUUACAUCCCCAUUUUAUAGAUGAGGAAACUGAGGCCCCGAGUGCGUCUUCCUCAAGGCCACAUGGUGAAUGGUAAGUGGCAGAUCCUGCACACCUCUGCCAACCCCCAUGGGUGCAGGAGAGGUGGUCAGACCCACCCUUUCAAUUGGACCACCCUGCUCAGGUUGAGAAGAGGUUUCAGUGCAGGUAAGGUCUUGAGUUAUAUGCUUUAGUUGGGGCUGGGAUUUGAGAGUUCGGCAGAAGCUGAGUCCAACUCCGGUCCCCAUCCAGUGGGCAGUGUCAAUAAGAGGGUCUCUAAGGCCUGGCAGGGCCUGAGACACUAACGCAGGAGAAGGAGGCUCAGGAGGCUGGUAUCAUCCCUUCCUCCCUUUAGGAACAGUCCCUACCAGCCUGGAAAACAGACCAGCCUCUGUCACUCCAGAGAUAACCCACUCUCAUCUGGCUCGUACCUGGCUUCAGGGAUCUUGGGGAGAGAUAAGAGGUUAAAAAAGGGACAUAUCAAAACUCCCUCCUCUUGGAGCCUGCCCAGCUUUCAUCACCCUCCUGCCUCGGCCUGCAUGCUGAGCGGAUUAUAAACGCCCCAUCAGGGAGCACUGCUUGGGCCUGUGGCCUGAAAACGGAAAUGCAACCAUAGCAUGGAGAUGCUCUGAGAAAAGAUGAUCCAGACCCACCUCAUCUCCCAGCCCUUCAAGCAGAGCUAUAAAAACAAGUUUGGGAGAAAAACACAUUCCCAUCCCCAAAGCAGAG